UACGUAGGGGGCAAGCGUUGUCCGGAUUUAUUGGGCGUAAAGCGCUCGCAGGUGGUUCGUCGCGUCGUGCGUGAAAGACCCCGGCUCAACUGGGGAGUGUCGUGCGAUACGGGCGGACUAGAGGCCAGUAGGGGGAUGCGGAAUUCCGGGUGUAGUGGUGGAAUGCGUAGAGAUCCGGAGGAACACCAGCGGCGAAGGUGGCAUCCUGGACUGGUCCUGACACUCAGGAGCGAAAGCGUGGGGAGCGAUCCGG
rnacentral:rRNA from 1 species